rnacentral:rRNA from 1 species
AUACGGAGGAUCCGAGCGUUAUCCGGAUUUAUUGGGUUUAAAGGGAGCGUAGGCGGACGCUCAAGUCAGUUGUGAAAGUUUGCGGCUCAACCGUAAAAUUGCAGUUGAUACUGGGUGUCUUGAGUACAGUAGAGGCAGGCGGAAUUCGUGGUGGAGCGGUGGAAUGCUUAGAUAUCACGAAGAACUCCGAUUGCGAAGGCAGCCUGCUGGACUGUAACUGACGCUGAUGCUCGAAAGUGUGGGUAUCAAACAGGAUUAGAUACCCUGGUAGUCCACACAGUAAACGAUGAAUACUCGCUGUUUGCGAUAUACAGUAAGCGGCCAAGCGAAAGCGUUAAGUAUUCCACCUGAGGAGUACGCCGGCAACGGUGAAACUCAAAUGAAUUGACGGGG